GUAAAAACUUUAGUCAAUUCUUCUUUGUACCAAUAAUCCAAUUGAUUUGAAAAAUUUCCAAUUUGUUUUCCUUCAAUCUAGUAGAUGCAAUGGCGCUCUCAUCUCUUUAUAAGAAGCACAAGAAACACAUGCAGAAACUUCUGAAUUUUCAGACAAGAAAAUUUGGGACAAGUCCAUCCUAAUCUCAACCUUCUGAAAUUGGGAAUUGUCCCUGUAACUAUGCUAUCAAUUCAGCAUUGACCUUAGUUACUGAAAUGGUGUAUUAAUUCACUUUUUAAAUAUAUUUUAGCCUUAAAAAUGCAUGUGACUGGUACGAAAAUAUAGAAAUUCUGAGGAAGUGACUUCAGACUCAGUCUGCUUUUCAAAAUUUUAAUUAUUCCAGAGUGAAAACAGGAGAGUACCAUAACAGUCUUCUAUUAUUAUUAUUAUCAUUAUCAUUAUUAUUAUACUGAAAUGACUGUUGAAGAGAAAUUGAUAUCUCUUUCGUGGAGCAAGCAGAUCACGUUGGGUGAGGUGACACAGAAAUCACAUACUCUAACAACAGCAGAAGAAUCAUCAGUUAGCUAAUUAUUCAAUUCAGUCGCUUUUCACAUUAAAAUCUUUCCCACGGCCCACGGGCCACGCCCAUUUCAUUACAUAACCAAAUCCAAUGGCAUCUUAUUCUUCACUUUCACACUUAUCCACCUACUCCUGCCUCUUGUCCUGCCGGUCUGCUCUCUGUCUGUUGUUGUUAUUACUGUUCAUUUCAUUGCACUGCAUCUACCCCUUGUUUAAUUUCCUAACCCGCUGGCUCAUACUACACAUCUUUCAGUGGGUUUCGAUCUUGGGUUGUUCCCAUGCUUUUCCUUUCCGAGGUUUUCAUCGACCCUUGUUCAGCUAGGUUCGUUGCGGUGUGAUUUAAGAUGUCCAGAAAGAGAGCGGCGUAUACGCCCCCGCUUCGCAGUAACAUGGACGACAAGCAUGCGAGCCUCAUGCAGGAUUAUCUUCUACUUCAAGAUGAGUACGUUUCGCUGAAGGAUCAGCUGCAGACAGCCAAGCUGAGAAAGACAACCCUGCUAGCAGAAGUCAGACGGUGGGAGACGGGCGGAUACGUUAGUGAGAAGUCUCCUCUCUAUGGAGAUGUUUCCAACGAAGUUUCCGGUGCGGGAGACGCGUCCGAGUCUCCGAUUCUUGAGACAGAGACUAAAAAUGCUGAAGUACUCUCCUAUCGACUCCAAAGGAAAAGAAUCAUCUUCCAGGACUAUUAAUUGUGAGUCCUCUAUUGCCUAUACCAGAAAAUCUGCUUCCCAAGCAGUUGCACCAGACUCUUCUUCUUUGUCUCCUAAGAAUAAAUCGUUGGAUACAACAGAAGUUCCUAUAUUCUGGGACCCACACAAGGUAAUUGUUUCUGAGGAGACUGUCAAGUGGGAGGGAGUCAAUGACAACAUUGGACUGGUUAGUGCUCCGAGGGUAUCUGUUUUCAGAAAUGGCCUAAAUACAUUUGCCACAGCAACGGCGGGAAAGAGGAAAAUCUCACGCGAAGAUCAAAUUUCUUUGGAGUGUAAUUAAGGAAGGAUUCUAUCCUUAUUUUGUUGUUGCAAUUGCCUCACAAAUCAUCGGAACACCUCCUUGUAUAUUUGCCAAAGGUGUUUUUGUAUCGUAAGUUGCUCAGGUUGUAAAGUUUCUGAUGUAAGCAAAGGUCAUUGCAGAGGUGAACCCCCUUUCGUUUUUUUGAGUGAGUAUCUGCCUAGUAAGUUGCUCAGGUUGUAAAGUUUCUGAUGUAAGCAAAGGUCAUUGCAGAGGUGAACCCCCUUCGUUUUUUUGAGUGAGUAUCUGCCUCCGUAUUUUGAGACACUUAUUUGUAGAAUUAUAUGAGUGGAACUUGCGAAGAAUAGUUUUGAAUAAAAUGUAAGUUGUUUUACAGAAGUGUAAUUUAGUUCCUACAGGAUCCUUGCUCUGUCAUUUUGAGAAGGUUAUCCUCAAGUUUCUUCUUUGAGUUGUUGUAGGAAUAUUGUAGGGAAUGGCGACGAUCAAUUCUGUCCUUAAACUAAAAAUUCCCGUGGGAGCAAGGUCUUUGCCCCCUGUAAAUACAGAUUUAUCAGAGAAGAAAAGAAAAAGAAAAUCAAUGGAAGUGACCCUAUAGGGGAAUAAUCCAGAUUUUUUAACUUUGGCUUUUAGCUUUUAAUGAAUA